UCCGCUUUACAGCGGCAGUUUGUUCCGAGUCCCCGACUUUACUCGCUGGUAACAGAACAUGAGGGUUGCGCUCGUUGCGGGACUUAACCCAACAUUUCACAACACGAGCUGACGACAGCCAUGCACCACCUGUGGAGCACCCUCGCAGGCGACCGGCUUUCACCGGCUUGCAGCUCCAUGUCAAGCCCUGGUAAGGUUCUUCGCGUUGCAUCGAAUUAAGCCACAUGCUCCACCGCUUGUGCGGGCCCCCGCCAAUUCCUUUGAGUUUCAACCUUGCGGCCGUAGUCCCCAGGCGGUUCACUUAAUGCGUUAGCUGCGGCACCGAGGCAGUUGCCCCGACACCUAGUGAACAUCGUUUAUGGCCAAGACUAC
rnacentral:misc_RNA from 1 species